rnacentral:rRNA from 1 species
ACAUCCAGAGAACUUAGCAGAGAUGCUUUGGUGCCUUCGGGAACUCUGAGACAGGUGCUGCAUGGCUGUCGUCAGCUCGUGUUGUGAAAUGUUGGGUUAAGCCCCGNAACGAGCGCAACCCUUAUCCUUUGUUGCCAGCGGUUCGCCGGGAACUCAAAGGAGACUGCCGGUGAUAAACCGGAGGAAGGUGGGGAUGACGUCAAGUCAUCAUGGCCCUUACGGCCAGGGCUACACACGUGCUACAAUGGCGCAUACAAAGAGAAGCGACCUCGCGAGAGCAAGCGGACCUCAUAAAGUGCGUCGUAGUCCGGAUUGGAGUCUGCAACUCGACUCCAUGAAGUCGGAAUCGCUAGUAAUCGUAGAUCAGAAUGCUACGGUGAAUACGUUCCCGGGCCUUGUACACACCGCCCGUCACACCAUGGGAGUGGGUUGCAAAAGAAGUAGGUAGCUUAACCUUCGGGAGGGCGCUUACCACUUUGUGAUUCAUGACUGGGGUGAAGUCGUAACAAGGUAAGCGUAGCGAG